GUUUUCAUUUGUAAUUAUUUUAUUUAAACAUAAAUAUUAUAAAAAGUUUCGAUAACCAUCUCGUUUUCCUUGUGAUAAUCCGAAUAAUUCAGUCGUUAUAUUCCCCUGAUCUACGAUGGCUCGUGUGGGAGAAAAUCGGACACGGAAAGAGCUUGAAUUAUUCGAGUUAUCCAAGCUGCUAGAACUAUUACAGGAUUACGAUGUAAUUCCUCGAUCAAGACAAAAACUUUAUAUUGAAUAAAGGCAACAGUAGUAUACCGCUGUUCGAAAUUCAUAAGUCAAUAGAGAGAAAAAAUCCAGGUUACAAAAUAAAACUGGGGUAAACGCAUGAAAUAUAAGAGAACUACAGCACAACAGAAACACAACUUUAAAAUGUAACACACACAGAAACGAACUAUAAUAUAACAUGCAUUGUCCUUACUUGGUACAGGGAAUUUUAGGAAACAGAAAUGGUGGGUUGAACCUGGUUUGUGGAAUGCCAAACCUCCCGCUUUAAUGGCCAUGUUAAUUAUAUAUUUUUAAAUGACAACAUUACAUGACAUGACUACAAUACAAAUAAAUAGGAGAAAAUAUAGUACAGAGAAACACACGAAUAAUAGCCAAAAAAGGUACCAGGUUAAAUUAACAUUGUAUACGCCAGACGUACGUUAGGUUUAGAAGCUCUGAAUAAUAGAAGUAAUAAACAUAACCUUAUACUAUUCUAUAAAAUAUUAAUUGGGAUACCACCUGCAUAUUUAUAUCAGUUAGUCGUCAUAUCUACCCAGACCAGUGGCGGAUGCAGGAAUUUUCGAAAGGGGGGGUGCUAGCCCAGGGCAAAGGGGGGGGGGGUGCAAAACAUAUGUCCCGAUUGUCCCGAUUCAAAUGCAUUGAUCGGCCAAAAUAAAGGGGGGGUGCGCACCCCCACCCCCCCUCUGAUUCCGCCACUCAGACAACCCAUACUAUUGAAAAUACAAAGUACGCUUUUUACCCGCAUCUUGCUAGAACUAGCUCUUUUUUAAUAGUUGCAUUCCUUCCACUGUAAGACUUUGGAGUAGUCUUUCUUUGAGUAAACAACCUCCACUCCCUAACUCC
rnacentral:lncRNA from 1 species